GAUGAAGAACGUAGCGAAAUGCGAUACGUAGUGUGAAUUGCAGAAUUCAGUGAAUCAUCGAAUCUUUGAACGCACAUUGUACCUCUCGGUAUUCCGGGAGGUAUGCCUGUUCGAGCGUCAUUUGUACCCUCAAGCUCUGCUUGGUGUUGGGUGUUUGUUCCGCCUCUGUGUGUGAACUCGCCUCAAAACAAUUGGCAGCCGGCGUACUUGUUUCGGAGCGCAGCACAUUUUGCGAUCCAGAUCAACGUACAGCGGCAUCCAAGAAGCCUUAUUUAACGCUCUUGACCUCGGAUCAGGUAGGGAUACCCGCUGAACUUAAGCAUAUCAAUAAGCGGAGGA
rnacentral:misc_RNA from 1 species